GCCUGUGUAGCUCAGUUGGCAGAGCUUCAGACUUUUAAUAUGAAGGUCCAGGGUUCAAGUCCCUGUACAGGUG